CCUACGGGUGGCUGCAGUGAGGAAUAUUGGUCAAUGGGCGAGAGCCUGAACCAGCCAAGUCGCGUGAGGGAGUACUGCCCUAUGGGUUGUAAACCUCUUUUGUCGGGGAGCAAAAGCCGGACGUGUCCGGCUGUGCGAGUACCCGAUGCAAAAGCAUCGGCUAACUCCGUGCCAGCAGCCGCGGUAAUACGGAGUAUGCGAGCGUUAUCCGGAUUUAUGGGGUUUAAAGGGUGCGCAGGGGGAUUUUUAAGUCAGCGGUCAAAUCGUGGGGCUAAACCCCAUCCAGCCGUUGACACUGGGGAUCUAGAGUGCACGAGAGGUAUGCGGAAUGCGUGGUGUAGCGGUGAAAUGCAUAGAUAUCACGCAGAACCCCGAUUGCGAAGGCAGCAUACCGGUGCACAACUGACGCUGAGGCACGAAAGUGUGGGUAUCGAACAGGAUUAGAUACCCCGGUAGUC
rnacentral:rRNA from 1 species